rnacentral:lncRNA from 1 species
UUGCCACUUUCUGAAUGUCCUUAACAUGAGCGGAGGCAAAAAUCCGUAGCUUCCAACCGUGAGCUCUCGCUGCCAUUUCCGCUGUGGUAAAAGUUCCCAACCAAAUUCUUGACUUCUUGUUGGGUCCUCUGACUUCACACACCCACUUAGCUGAGAUCCUUCACCUCAUACCACGAUAAACUGGAUGCCUCCUCUCACAGAACUUCUUCCUCCCCCGUCUUUCAGGUAUUUCUUAGUGAACCCAUUUCUUAUUUCCUUGUUCAAAGUCACUAGAUUGCAGAUAGGAAGACAAAAAUAAUGAUUUGAAAUAAAGAGGAGUGAGAACGCUCAAAAAAAACCUACUCAUCUAUCAGUGGAAUAUGUGCACACUGGCGGAUCCAGGCACGGGCUCGACCGUGUUAUAGCAUGUGUCCACCCCUAAAAAUGCCUAUUUUUUUUCCAGUUUUAUUUUUUUAAAGAUAAAUCCAUGUAUAUUUAUAUUGUAAUCCGUGUCCAAACUCAAGGCUGGAUUCGCUAAUGUGCAGGGAACGAGACCUAUACAAGAAAAGUUUGAAUAGUAAUGGAGGUUAAGGUUUGAAAAUGAUAUCCACUAACAGAAGGGCAUAAAACUGAAACUUGAAGAGUGGUGAUGUUGGAAAGGAGGAGGCAAACUUGAUGGGGCUGUGGUGGUGGGUUUUUUGGUUGAGUUUAGGGGUAGGUGGGGUGUGGGAAAGAUAAGAUGAAUAGGGUAUUUUAUUUUUCGAUUUUUGAUUUUAUGUUUUUUUUAAAUUUAAUUCAGAAGUUAUCAUUUUGUCCCCUCUAAAAUUGGUCAAAGACAAUUGAUUGUGUCAACUAAAAGUCAAACUAACAAAAAUCAUCCAUUUGGACCCCGAGUGUUAAUUUUUGAAAGGUUUGGAAUUGUGAACGUCACAAAGUAAAGAUUAAGGUAAAGCCUACAAAAUGGUGAUGGGUUUGGAAUUGAUGUUGCAAUUAUCCCUAUUAUUAAUUACACAGUCUAAUUUUUUAAGCAAAUAAAUUAUCUUUAUUCAGUCGAUCAUAGUAGUAGUGGGAGAGGAUAGGAUCGGAAAUCCCUUAUCCUCUACCAUAUAUAAUAUAUAUGCUAUGAAGAAUAAUCAAGUAGUCUAUUGUCAAAUCAUUUGAAUAAAUGCUAGGAAAAAAAAUGGAAAUCGAACAUUGAUGAAAUGAUCCACCUUAUUAUUUAUGUGACUAAUAUUCAUCCAAAUUAUUUAAGCCAUAUUCUCAUAAUUUUAAGUGAUAUCUAAAUUAUAUAUUUUUUUUGUUCAAUCGGGUCUAAUGAACUUGUGAAUAACUAUCCGACAAAGUAUAUCUCAAUCAAGAUAAUGGAUUCAUUUCUUGUAUUAUGAAUAGGGUCGAUUAUAAUUACUUAUAAAAAGUCAUUCUUUCAAAGAAACGGUUUAAUCAUAUCUCGAGAAUAAUUUAUAAUCAAGAACAAGCUUAUAAUGAGUGAGAUGCACCAAACUCUUGAAUGUGCCUUCGCUUCCACUACUUUUUUUGUUCCUAAGAUGCCAAUUAAUUCUUCACCCGCUUUGUUUUAAUUGUUUCUGUCUUGUUUAUAUAUUUAAAUACUAAUAAAAUGUUACCAACCAAAACUCACCAAACCAAGCUAAACACCUUCGGCCCCUUUUUUGGUUUUCACCAAAAAAAAAUAAAAAUAAAAAUAAAAAAAUUACAAAAACCUAAAGAUGAAAAAGAAAUAAAGUUGUCAUCACUUUGAGAGUCAUUUUUAAAAGACAAAGCUGAUUCGAAGAUGGUAUCUUCGACAAUACUUCAAGCAUUGAUCGAUGAUGGGGAAGCCAUUAGUUUUACCGGUGAAGUUUAUUAUUUUUUAAUUUACUUGUUUUAUUUUUCUAAUAAGUCAUGGAAUAUGAACGCAUAACUUUAGAUGUUCAUUUUUCCGACCAUAACGGGUGUUACAUUCCAUUUUGCACUUUUAAUUGAAUCAUUACCCUUGAUGAUUGCACAUUUGUCUGUAAUUGUAGACAACAAUCAUCGAUAGCGCUUUGUUUACUUAUCAUCAACAUAGAAGCAUUUGUUUUCUUUACUUUUUUCUCAUUAAAAAGUUAUUGAUGAAAAUAUUAUAUAUGUCAUUAAUUUAAGCUAUCUUCCUCCUUUUCAAAUUUUAAUUUGAAAUAUUAGCGUUAUAUUUUAAGUUAUAAUUUCAUUACCAAUGAAAUUUUUCGUUGCUACUUUGUUUAUUACGAAGAUUAUGUUGAUAAAUUAUUUAUUUCAUAUUAAUAUUUGCUAUUUGGAAUGACCACGAGCUUCUUAAUAUAUCAUGAUCGAUGUAAUUUUCACAUUAAGGAUAUAUUAUCAUUGACACCCUUGAGGCCUGCUCCUUAAGAAGUCGAAAAACUUUCAAAUCAUCCUAUUAUUUAUCCUCUAUAAUCACAACUAUAAUUUGAGUAAAUCAUAUUUGAAAAUGGACCAUUGAUCGACAAGGGGACCCUUAAUAAAAGAGGAAUUGAAAAUAAUGUAAAAUGAAGUGUCAAAAUUGGUAAACCGGACAAACUAAAAACAUGACAUUAUGGAAAAAUUUAGUGCCAACAUUUGGAGGAAUCGAAUGUACAUAAAAAUUGGCAGUGGGAAUCCUAUCCAUUGUUACAAGAUAUGAUUAAGAAAUGGUCAAUAUAAUGCAUGUGAACUUUAUUGGACUUGACCCACAUUCUUCAAAUGUUUUUACAUAUUUUGACAACUUAAAAAUAAGUAUAAUGAUUUUAGAAUAAUAAUUUAUUUUACGCUAUGAAUUUCUGUUAUAGUAACUUAAUUAUCUUCAACUUUGAAUAGUAAAAGAAUUUUACAUUUUUGUGUAGGUAAAUUGUUCAAGUACAGUCAACUCCAAGAGUCAAGUAGAUGUCAACGUCAAAUUUUGGUUGAUCGAAUGUUUACAUAACGGUCCAAUCCUCAUAUUUGAAAAACGACCUUAGCAUAGUCCAAACUAUAUUUUUAGACGGGUUGGUUCGUAUCUCC